CCUCUAGGGUUUACCCCGCCGCGCCGCUUGUCCGAUCCCAACUCGAGAUAGGCAGAGAGAGCUCGUCGCCGGCGUGUUCUCCGGCGAUUCCAGGCGAGCCGUCGGGCUGUCUUCUUCGUCUCCGUCACCGGUGUGUUCUCGGGAUGGAUCUUGGUUUCAUGGAUGUUGAUCCUGUGCCCCAUGCUCAUGGUAUCUUGACGGGUCAAGAUCCGUUCUACUGGCUCAGUUUGGAAUCAGCACACUCUGAUAAUGGGCAUGCAUUGGCGAUGGUUCUGCUCUGUGCGUACAGAGCUACGCAAGUUGCAACUAAAAGUGAGUUCGGUCGAUUCGUAAGUGAAAUGCCGCAUCAAGAAGAAGAUGAUCAUGUCUCUGAAGGUCCAUGUUUCAAGUGUGUUUUAAAGGAUCUAAUGCUGCAGUCUCGUCUUGUACCAAUAAGGAAGCUGAUCGGUUACUUUGUUCGGGCACUCAAUCAAUGGAACUAUCAGUCAGUUGAUGGCAGUAUUUUCACAAAGUUACAUGAUUCCUUUGAGAUAUGGGCAAACCAGAAAGGGUGGCUUGAACAGUUGUAUUGUUGUUUCACUGCUGAAACUCACUAUUAGAAUGUUUUGGGCAUUACAGCUUGCCCCAUUAUGAUCAUGUCAUUGACGCUGAAGACAAACCUAUCGAGCUUUUCAUGGAGCUGAUGACCAAUGAGGUCGGUCGUUUUUGUACAUGCUGUGGACAACGCAAAGGUUAUGACCUGAAGUCAUCACGCUGUCUUCCAGCAUGCCUCGUGUUUACUCAUACAGGUGUUCCUGUACCUGAGUUGCUGUAUGAGGAGGUGCAAUACAAGCUCACUGCAGUGAUUCCUAAAGUCCAGGAGCUCAAGGCUUAUCUUGUCCUGAAGAACGAAUGGUCGAUGAAUGAAUGGACGAAAAUUAAUUUUAAGAAGAAUAAGAUCACGGUGAAGCCGUCUGACAUCAUGAACUCCAUCAUCAGCUCAUGGUCCCGCUUGGAGUUUGUUUUCUACACAAAAUCAAAAGUUUGAGCGGUCUCUAGCCAUCCUGUGUCGUUAAGUAGAGGGAUCUUGUUGCUACCUGUAACCGAGUGAAUUGUCUCGUUUAUUAUUCUGGUUUUAAGAUAUUUGAAGCUGGACAUAUGCCAUUUGAUUGUUGCUAUAUGCACACUGCACCAAGAAUGAUUUUUGGAUGACAGAGGCGCA